UAGUCUGAGAUGGCGACGAUUGACGGCUGCUCGGCUCAGCUAUUUUAGCCGCUCAUGCUUGAUGUGGGUGUUGUCGAGUGUCGUGCGCGUACUACUUGGCUUUGGCGACAAUUUUCACUUUCACUGGAAGAUCGACCAUGAGAAACUUCGGAACCAUACGCAUUACCGGGAUGUCAAGAAACGACUGAGGCCGAUGAGCUGGGAUCAGAUGAGGAGAUGGCUAUGUCCGGGAAUCGCAACACUUCGGCGGCCUUCGAUUCCCCAAUGACGGCAGGCCCUGCCGACGCCGUGAUAAAGAACGCGGCCGACAAUGACUCCCGAAGAAAAAAUGUUAGAGGCCUGCACAUCGACUUGCCAAGCGUUAAGCGAAUAGUGAGAAGAAUGCUCAUUUAUAUGUGCUAGAAACCGCGCAAACCGCGCGAAGCCCCUCCAUUAGGUGAAUUUUGCCACGUUGUUUGCCGAAGGAACUGGGCAUUUUCAUCACGGCGGCGUUCCUUCUCGUCUUCUACCGUGUGCCCGCGCCUGGCUGUGGGCACAUCGAUUCAGAGGGAUAGCAGAAAAAGAAACGUUUGGUCGAAAUUUCGUGAGCCAAGCACAUCUGCGAGAACUGUCAUUCGUAGGCGUGAAAUCCCUUUCUCUAGCGCUUGUCGCAUAAAAGAUCGUUGAAAUAAAGAAACAGUCUUAUCUGAACACACA